rnacentral:rRNA from 1 species
GACGAACGCUGGCGGCGUGCUUAACACAUGCAAGUCGAACGAUGAAGCCCAGCUUGCUGGGUGGAAGAGUGGCGAACGGGUGAGUAACACGUGAGUAACCUGCCCUGAACUCUGGGAUAAGCACUGGAAACGGUGUCUAAUACUGGAUACGACCUAUCACCGCAUGGUGUGUGGGUGGAAAGAUUUAUCGGUUCUGGAUGGACUCGCGGCCUAUCAGCUAGCUGGUGAGGUAAUGGCUCACCAUGGCGACGACGGGUAGCCGGCCUGAGAGGGUGACCGGCCACACUGGGACUGAGACACGGACCAGACUCCUACGGGAGGCAGCAGUGGGGAAUAUUGCACAAUGGGCGCAAGCCUGAUGCAGCAACGCCGCGUGAGGGAUGACGGCCUUCGGGUUGUAAACCUCUUUUAGUAGGGAAGAAGCGAAAGUGACGGUACCUGCAGAAAAAGCACCGGCUAACUACGUG